rnacentral:rRNA from 1 species
GAUGAACGCUGGCGGCGUGCCUAAUACAUGCAAGUCGAGCGAACAGACGAGGAGCUUGCUCCUCUGACGUUAGCGGCGGACGGGUGAGUAACACGUGGAUAACCUACCUAUAAGACUGGGAUAACUUCGGGAAACCGGAGCUAAUACCGGAUAAUAUAUUGAACCGCAUGGUUCAAUAGUGAAAGACGGUUUUGCUGUCACUUAUAGAUGGAUCCGCGCCGCAUUAGCUAGUUGGUAAGGUAACGGCUUACCAAGGCAACGAUGCGUAGCCGACCUGAGAGGGUGAUCGGCCCCCCUGGAACUGAGACACGGUCCAGACUCCUACGGGAGGCAGCAGUAGGGAAUCUUCCGCAAUGGGCGAAAGCUUGACGGAGCAACGCCGCGUUAGUGAUGAAGGUCUUCGGAUCGUAAAACUCUGUUAUUAGGGAAGAACAAAUGUGUAAGUAACUAUGCACGUCUUGACGGUACCUAAUCAGAAAGCCACGGCUAACUACGUGC